CUGCCUUCGUGGUCCGUGAGGACCCCCUGGCUGCGGAAGGGGGGACGCCCCGGGCCCGCAAGGCUGCAGCCCCUGGAAGACGUUCCACGGGCGGAGAAUAGUUGGGAGAGCCUGGCUGUGGACAGUCAGGAGGACCUGACUCUGGUUUUCUGGAACAAAGGAGAUGGAAUGCUCCUUUUACCUAGGCGGGAGUGGACGAGGAAUCCCACUCCGUCAGAGGUCGAGUUCGGCUGCCUAUUUAAAUAUAGGCUCGGACAAGAGUGCUUGGUCGUUAGGACAAGAGGACACUCUGGAAUCCUGUUGGGAGGUGGAAUCAGAUGGUCCAUCUCAUCCCAAAAGCAGCUAAGGUUAAGCUGCAGUUUGGGCCAGGUACUGAAGGUACCAGGCAUCUGUGAAAAUUGGUUAUAGGAUGCUUUGUCUUGGUCUCGUUUGUCUGGCUUGUUUUCUGUGGUAUUGUCGAGUGUCUUUUUGGCUUUUGUUUCGUUUUUGAAUUUUGGACUGACGACUGUGUUUGAAUUUGGACUGACGACUGUGUUUGAAAUCUUGGACUGACGACUGUGUUUGAAAUCAUGAAACUGUUUGCUUUGUUCAUCAUAGAGUUUUACUUGAUCCUCUUGGUGCUUAAGUUAAGAGUUAAAAAUAAUUUGCUUGAGAAAAAUUGUUUUCUGCCAGGGAGUUUUGUCUUUCUCUCUUGAGCCUCCUCCCCAAGGAGAGAGGCCCCUCCCUUUACUCCCCUUGAUCAGCCUAGCUGCUGUUAACAGUUGUGUAAACAGACAUUAACAAAAACCUUGAGGACAAAACCUCUCGUAAAUAAAAAAGUUCCCCAGAUUAGGCCUCCGGUAUGAAACAAGUAUAGUGAGUAAGAAACUUAAUUUUAUGGACCCCGCUCUAGUGGCGGUGUAUUGGUUGAUAGCCAACGUUAAUUUUUUAAAACAUAGUGUUUUAUCUGUGCUUGUGCUCCCAACACACAGUAGGGGGGAGCGAAAUUAGCUGUGGAGCUGCUGCAGCGAGCAUGGGGACUUCUCAAGUCUCACCCAAUUUUUCUGGCUCUUCAGGAGCUGUUUAAAAGUAAAAGGCUUAAGGUAAAAAGAAACACUAUAGAAAGAUUUCUUAGUGAAUUACUACACCUUGGUUCGCGAUCUCUGGGAAUCUCACGGUGGACAGCUAAGAUAAGCUAAAAAAAGAUUUAAAUUUUGCUUGAGAGCAAGGAUUCUUAAAGGUGGAGUUUCAGCCGGUAUGGCACUUAGUGCGUAGCUGCCUAAAAAAUCAGAAAUGCUGUCAACAGGCUAUAAAAAAGGGACAAGCUGUGUUAAAAAUGCUACAUAAAGAAUAAUCUAAAAAGGCUGAGAGUGAGGUGGGAGAGGACUCUAGAAAAAACAAGAACAAGAAAAAAAAAUUUUUCUGCUUUUAGUGACCAGACCUUCAACUCUUGCUCACAGAAAGAGGGUGCUCAUUAGGAGAAGUUCUUUAAGGAGCCUGCCUUAUCUGCUGGCCCUAUUCCAAGAGAGGAGUCAGUCUCCGGCAUUAAAUUACUUUUCUCACUGGUCAUCAUUAGCAUGGAGAAUGCCUUUGAUCCUAUCCCCACAGCAGCCAGUUCCUGCCCCUGUGGUAGAAAUGUCCCAGGUUGGGGGACAGAGAAGCCCCUAAAAUAGUUUCAAAGAAUCUACAACAAACUGUAAAGAACUUUGUUUUGUUUUGCCAGUUUGAAUUUAGAAUUCAGGCUUUGGCUGUGGCCGAGGUCAGGAUUAAUGUUUUCGUUUCCAUGGGCCCUUAGCCCACUGAGACAGUUUGGUAAAGGACUACUACUACAGUCCUGAUAUUCAGAGACAUGGAGAGAGCUAUAGUUUUUUUAUUAAAGGUUGGUACUAUAGUAUUAACAAUCUCUUUAUUAGAUAUAAGAGACAAGAAGCCCUAGGUGAACUGGUUACAAUUCUUUUGUCAGCUGCUUAGUAUCUAACACCCAGGUUCUACCGUCUCUCCAUCCUUUUGUUAUUAGUUCUUACUAGAAGCCUAGUGUCCUUCAGAGGCUGGGUUUAUUGAGAGACAGAGCCACUGAGCUGGCACUAAAAGAAGGUACUCCUUAAGGGAAAAUCUAAGUCCAGAGAGACAGCCGGUAACAGAUAGGCUGCCCCUCUGCUCACUUUUCUGUUUCACAGACACAAGGUCUUUUUGUCCCAAGAAAGCCUCCUGGCUUAGCUGUGUGACUAAAUGCUAUUUGCCCUCUUCAGUGGACCUCUAUUCUCAAGAUUCCCUUGUUUUCUCACCAUCCCAUUUGAGAUGCUUGUUAGUAACUGUUACAGGUCUUCUUUACCACCGAGGAAAGACAGAAUCCUACUAGAGGCCAGAAAAAGUGUUCCAGAGAUGGAUGGAAGGCCCUCACUUCUGCCUGCUCUCUUCAAACGCCUAAAGGUAGGGAGUGCUCCAGGUCUGCCACCAGGCUCCAAGGAUGGGUCUCUGAGGGGCUAGGAAAUGCCCCACCAAUCUGGCUAAGACAAAGAAAGGAUAUAAAGAGAAUGUUACAGAAAUUUAAAGGGUUAAGUUAAGUUGCUGAGAGUUAGUACAAGUUACAGAAAAAGAGGUAAAAAAAACAGGAAGCUAGGGAAGAAAAGAGACAAAAAGAAAAAGUUAGAGAGCUAAAGAGAGAUAAAAGACGAGAGAGGAACAUAUACUGGCCACAGUAGUUAGGGAACCUAGGAAGAUAGUACCUGACAACAGAAGAGAAUUCCUGGCUAAAGAUCAGUGUGCCUAAUACAAAGAAAAAGGACACUGGGUCAGAGACUGCCCAAGAAAGAACAAGAGGGGACACUGGAGAGCCUCUUGGUGCUGGCUAUGCACAGAGAUAGAAGGGAAGCCCGCCCAGUUGUUUUGUGGAUACAGGGACCCAAUGCUCUGUGCUCCUAUGCCCCCCAGUGGGCCAAUAUCCAAAGACCUUGAGUGCAAGGAGCUACUGACAACGAACAAUACUUAUGGACUGCCCGAAGAACAGUGGACCUUGGUGUGGGCCGGGUAACCCACCCACUAAUUCAUGGUCAUCCCUGACUGCCCCUAUCCCUUGCUCAUGAGAAAAUUGCUCUCCAAAUUGGCUUGCGUGGGCUGAAAUGGCUGGAUGAGGCCAUGUGUAUACAUAUCUAUAGACUGUGUAUGUAGAGCUUAAGACCUGUCUCAGUGCACCAGUAACUGAUGCUGGGAGAUGAAUGGCUUAGUGCUUUUCUGCCUGGAACACACCGUUCCUGCCAGCCGGGCACUGACAAUUAUCACCCGAUCCAGGACUUAAACUGUGAUAGAGUGGCUGAUGUUUUGCCUUUGAAUAGAAUGUCCCAAAGGAUGGGACCACUGGUCAGCUGCCAUAGACUAGAUUCUCCACUGGUUGGGGACAAUCUGGUCACCUUGCUGCCCAAUCCGGACCUGGAGCCACCACAGCACGAGUGUCAAACACUGACAGAAGCACAUGGGUGGAGGAAAGACCUGUGCGACUGGCUGAUUGACCCCUGCUGAAAGCCGAGGACCUUGUCCACAGACGGGAACAGUUCUCUUCAUGAAUAAAGAUGCCCUGAUGAAGCCAACAACUGUGAGUACUAUUCAUUGCUCAGGAUAUCAGGAGGGAAGUGAUUCAGUGACAUGGGACAAUAACAAAACAGAUAAAGUGGCUUGGGAAAUGGCUAUGCAGGAGCCUAUCCUGGUUACAGGCCUACAAGAAACAGCCACUGAGAACUGGGAUUAGACUAAGGGAUGGCCUCACUUAGAAUGUACAACAGAAGAAAAGGCCCAAGUUGUUUAAAAGAUAAAAAGACAAUGACACACUUGGGGAGAAAGCUGUACCCCCCAAAGAACAGACAAAAGACUCACUUUGCCAAAUAAAAAAAAUAGACUCAUUUAAGAGAUAAGAAGUUUGUCCAAAUAGUUAAAAUAUAUAUAAUAGACUUUAAGAUUUUAGCCAAGAGAGACAGUAAAAAAAAUAUAAGAUACGUCAGUAAAUAAAUGCUUAACAAACAAACAGGACAAAGAGACCUAGAGAGUUUAACGAAAAGUCGAAGUGAACUUCACUGAGAUAAAACCAGAAAAAUAUGAUCACAAGUAUCUCCUAGUGCUUGUAGAUACUUUUUCAGGAAUAGAUAGAAGCUUUCCUCACCAAAUGAGAGACGGCCUCUACAAUCAUCAAGAAGAUACUGGAAGAAAUCUUCCCCAGGUCUGGAAUGCCCAAGGUAAUCUGGUCUGACAGCGGCCCUACUUUCGUUGCCAAGGUAAGCCAGGGUGUGGCCAAAUAUUUAGAGGUCGAUUGGAAAUUACAUUGUAUUUACAGACCUCAAAGUUCAGGACAGGCAGAGUAAAUAAAUAGAACUCUAAAAGAGACCCUAAACAAAUUGACCAUGGAGACUGGCACAGACUGGGUGACACUCCUUCCCUCUUGCUCUCUUCAGAACAAGAAAUACCCCUUCCAGAUUCAGCCUUAUCCCCUUUGAGAUCUUAUAUGGGGCCUCAGCUCCCCUGACUGUAUUAGAUGAUGUUACUGAACCAACAUGUCAUAGUAAUAAUGAUUUGUGUGCCAGGCUAAAAGACCUACAGGUGAUACAGAAAGAAAUCUGCUCACAGCUGACAGCAGCCUAUGCCCUGGAGACCCCUGAGACAUCCCAUCAGUCGGAGACUGCAGCUACACUGAGCCCAGACACUCGAGCCUCGCUGGAAAGGACCAUACCUGGUGCUGCUGACCACCCUGACAGCCGUCAGUUCUCAGCCCUCACCAGCCGUGUACUAGCUGUUAGGGCUGAGAGCUGGGACCUAGAGGGAAAUUUAGUCACGUUUGUCCUGGGUUCCAUCGAGAUAGGUGUGGGGAUAGGCUUGAUUUCUAUUACAAAUGAUGUAACAUUACAUAUGUUAGUACUCCUAACACUUCUUGGGACUGUGCCUCAGGGAUCACAACCUAUAUAAAUUUAGAAGUUCUGAAAGACAGUCAUGACCUUGGUGUAUAGGUUUAGAUAGUGUCCAGAUAGAAUCCUGAUGCCAAAGACUUUUUAGCUGACCUCCAAGAAUACCUAACCUCCCUUUCAGAGGUAGUCCUUCAAAAUAAGAAAAGAUUAGACCUGAUAUUCCUUAAAGAAGGAGCCUGUGUGCUACACUGAAAGAAUGUUGCUUAUUCAGGAGUAAUUAAAGACUCCAUAAAUAAACUUAAAAAAAGGUUAGACAAAGACAGACCAAAAAAAACACAUAAGAGAUGGUUCGAGAGCUAGUUUAGUAGAUCUCCCUAGAUGACUACCCUACUCUCUGCUACAGCUGGGCCAUUAUUAAUAAUUUUCUUGGUUUUAGUUUUUGGCUCCUGCGUGACAAACAGGUUAAUUGCUUUUGUUAAAAAUCGAGUGGGUGCUGUGCGGUUGAUGGUUGUGAGACAACAGUACCAGUCAGUUAGGACAACUGGUGAGACCAAAUACGAGACUUGAUAUCAAAAUUCUAAGAUUAGAAUUAUCUAGUAGGAGAAGACGGGAAUGAAAAGAAAAUUAUACGAAUUCUAGGUUUAAAAAUAUAAAAUUAAAAGAGUUAGCCCCAAAAGCCACAAACUCAGGGAUAAGCCCUGCCGCCAGGAAUAGCAGGCCAUAAAGAUAAAGAAAAGGAAUACAAAAACCAGCUCAGGCUAUCGAGGACUGAGCCAUAAACCAUCCAAAGACAUCCCCCCAGCUUACUCAGAGUCAUACUUUAACCAGAUGUCCUCCAGACCCUGAUAAGCCCCUACUUGUGCUUUUCAGCCAUUGUGUCCUACAGAGAGCACUCCAAGAAACCGGGCAGCCCAAGCCUAACCAGAGGUGUUUCAAAUACAAAUGCUCCAUCAAUUUUGACAAACUUUUAAAAAUAAUGAGGACCUGAAGACCCUACCCUUCUCCUGAUUUAGUAGCUCUGUUCCAGGAACCAGGGGGCCAUAAAACCUUCUGGCGUCCCCUUAUCUCCUGGAGCCAUAAAACAAUCCUGUAACUUGUGGUGCAUUCCCCUUUGACAUCCCCCAUCCCCUGGUGCUCACAGCCUCUGCCUUUAAAUACUCUUUUUCCCAGCCUCUCGGGGCCGACACCUCUGUCUCCUGCGCGGGAUACGUGUCAGCCCGGAGAUCUCUGUAAUAGGUCUCCGUAAUAAACCUCGCCUUUGCUUAUUACA